CCUACGGGUGGCUGCAGUGGGGGAUAUUGCACAAUGGGGGGAACCCUGAUGCAGCGACGCCGCGUGGGUGAAGAAGCGCCUCGGCGCGUAAAGCCCUGUCAGCAGGGAAGAAAAUGACGGUACCUGAAGAAGAAGCCCCGGCUAACUACGUGCCAGCAGCCGCGGUAAUACGUAGGGGGCAAGCGUUAUCCGGAUUUACUGGGGGUAAAGGGGGCGCAGACGGCGAUGCAAGCCAGGAGUGAAAGGCCGGGGCCCAACCCCGGGACUGCUGUUGGAACUGCGUGGCUGGAGUGCAGGAGGGGCAGGCGGAAUUCGUGGUGUAGCGGGGAAAGGCGUAGAUAGCAGGAGGAACACCGGUGGCGAAGGCGGCCUGCUGGACUGCAACUGACGUGGAGGCCCGAAAGCGUGGGGAGCGAACAGGAGUAGAUACCCUUGUAGGC
rnacentral:rRNA from 1 species